AGUGAACGCUGGCGGUAGGCCUAACACAUGCAAGUCGAACGGCAGCACAGUAAGAGCUUGCUCUUACGGGUGGCGAGUGGCGGACGGGUGAGGAAUACAUCGGAAUCUACUUUUUCGUGGGGGAUAACGUAGGGAAACUUACGCUAAUACCGCAUACGACCUACGGGUUAAAGCAGUGGAUCUUCGGACCUUUCGCGAUUGAAUGAGCCGAUGUCGGAUUAGCUAGUUGGCGGGGUAAAGGCCCACCAAGGCGACGAUCCGUAGCUGGUCUGAGAGGAUGAUCAGCCACACUGGAACUGAGACACGGUCCAGACUCCUACGGGAGGCAGCAGUGGGGAAUAUUGGACAAUGGGCGCAAGCCUGAUCCAGCCAUACCGCGUGGGUGAAGAAGGCCUUCGGGUUGUAAAGCCCUUUUGUUGGGAAAGAAAAGCAGCAGGUUAAUACCCCGAUGUUCUGACGGUACCCAAAGAAUAAGCACCGGCUAACUUCGUG
rnacentral:rRNA from 1 species